rnacentral:rRNA from 1 species
GACGAACGCUGGCGGCGUGCUUAACACAUGCAAGUCGAACAAUGAAGCUGGAGCUUGCUCCAGUGGAUUAGUGGCGAACGGGUGAGUAACACGUGAGCAAUCUGCCCUUGACUCUGGGAUAACUGCGGGAAACUGUAGCUAAUACCGGAUACGACACCUUGGGGCAUCCCGGGGUGUGGAAAGAAUUGCGGUCAAGGAUGAGCUCGCGCCCUAUGAGCUUGUUGGUGAGGUAAAGGCUCACCAAGGCGACGACGGGUAGCCGGCCUGAUAGGGUGACCGGCCACACUGGAACUGAGACACGGUCCAGACUCCUACGGGAGGCAGCAGUGGGGAAUAUUGCACAAUGGGCGAAAGCCUGAUGCAGCAACGCCGCGUGAGGGAUGACGGCCUUCGGGUUGUAAACCUCUUUUAGCAGGGAAGAAGCGAAAGUGACGGUACCUGCAGAAAAAGCACCGGCUAACUACGUGCCAGCAGCCGCCGUAA